AGCAGCCGCGGUAAUUCCAGCUCCAAUAGCGUAUAUUAAAGUUGCUGCAGUUAAAAAGCUCGUAGUUGAAUUUCGGGACCAAUAUGUCGGUCGUGCCUCGGUACGUACUGGCAUCGUUGGUUUCUCCUUUCUGAAGAACCAUGAUGUCAUUUAUUUGGUGUCGUGGGGAAUCAGGACUGUUACUUUGAAAAAUUAGAGUGUUUAAAGCAGGCUCACGCUUGAAUACAUUAGCAUGGAAUAAUGAAAUAGGACGUUUGAUUCUAUUUUGUUGGUUUCUAGGAUCGACGUAAUGAUUAAUAGGGAUAGUUGGGGGCAUUAGUAUUCAAUUGUCAGAGGUGAAAUUCUUGGAUUUAUUGAAGACUAACUACUGCGAAAGCAUUUGCCAAGGAUGUUUUCAUUAAUCAAGAACGAAAGUUAGGGGAUCGAAGACGAUCAGAUACCGUCGUAGUCUUAACCAUAAACUAUGCCGACUAGGGAUCGGAUGAUGUUAAUUUUUAAUGUACUCAUUCGGCGUAC
rnacentral:misc_RNA from 1 species